UACAGAGGUCUCAAGCGUUGUUCGGAUUCAUUGGGCGUAUAGGGUGCGUAGGUGGCGGGGUAAGUCAGGUGUGAAAUUUCGGAGCUUAACUCCGAAACUGCAUUUGAUACUGCCUUGCUUGAGGACUGGAGAGGAGACUGGAAUUCACGGUGUAGCAGUGAAAUGCGUAGAUAUCGUGAGGAAGACCAGUGGCGAAGGCGGGUCUCUGGACAGUUCCUGACACUGAGGCACGAAGGCCAGGGGAGCAAACGGG
rnacentral:rRNA from 1 species